rnacentral:rRNA from 1 species
AAUGCUGGCGGCGUGCUUAACACAUGCAAGUCGGAUGCGAACGCUGGUUUCGGCUGGUAAGUAGCAUGGCAGACGGGUGAGGAACACGUACUUAACCUGACGCGUGAUGGGGGAUAGUCUCUCGAAAGAGGGUUGAAUACCGCAUAGGCUCUUGAGGUGUAAGGCUUCAUGAGGAAAGUUGGCCUCUGCGUGCAAGCUGAUGUCAUGCGAGGGGGGUGCGUCCUAUUAGCUAGCUGGGAGGGUAAUGGCCUACCAGGGCGACGAUGGGUAGCUGGUCUGAGAGGAUGAUCAGUCACACUGGGACUGAGACACGGCCCAGACUCCUACGGGAGGCAGCAGUGGGGAAUUUUGCGCAAUGGGCGCAAGCCUGACGCAGCAACGCCGCGUGAGUGAAGACGCCUUUCGGGGUGUAAAGCUCUGUCAGUGGGGACGAAGGUGUGGUGAUGAACAGUUGCCAGGCGUGACGGUACCCACGAAGGAAGCCCCGGCUAACUCCGUGCCAGCAGGCGCGGUAAGACGGAGGGGGCGAGCGUUGUUCGGAAUUACUGGGCGUAAAGCGCACGCAGGCGGCGUGCCAAGUGCGAAGUGAAAGCCCUCGGCUUAACCGGGGAAGGGCUUCGCAGACUGGUAGGCUAGAGUGUCGGAGGGGGAGGCGGAAUUCCUGGUGGAGCGGUGAAAUGCGUAGAGAUCAGGAAGAACGUCGGUGGCGAAGGCGGGCUCCUGGACGAACACUGACGCUGAGGUGCGACAGGCGUGGGGAGCGAACGGGAUUAGGUACCCCGGUA